UACGUAGGGUGCAAGCGUUAAUCGGAAUUACUGGGCGUAAAGCGUGCGCAGGCGGUGAUGUAAGACAGGUGUGAAAUCCCCGGGCUUAACCUGGGAACUGCAUUUGUGACUGCAUCGCUGGAGUGCGGCAGAGGGGGGUGGAAUUCCAAGUGUAGCAGUGAAAUGCGUAGAUAUUUGGAGGAACACCAAUGGCGAAGGCAGCCCCCUGGGUUAACACUGACGCUCAUGCACGAAAGCGUGGGGAGCAAACAGG
rnacentral:rRNA from 1 species